rnacentral:rRNA from 1 species
UGAAAAGGGACCGACCCUUCGGGGAGCCUAUACAGGUGUUGCAUGGCUGUCGUCAGCUCGUGUCGUGAGAUGUUCGGUUAAGUCCGCUAACGAGCGCAACCCUCGCUGUGUGUUAUAUGUGUCACACGGGACUGCCGGUCUUAAGCCGGAGGAAGGCGGGGAUGAUGUCAAGUCAGCAUGGCCUUUAUAUCCUGGGCUACACACACGCUACAAUGGCCAACACAAUAGGUUGCUAAGCCGCGAGGUGGCGCCAAUCCAUAAAGUUGGUCUCAGUUCAGAUUGUAGGCUGCAACCCGCCUGCAUGAAGAUGGAGUUGCUAGUAACCGCAGGUCAGCUAUACUGCGGUGAAUACGUUCCCGGGGCUU